GGGUCAGUAGGUUGGUCGUGCCACCGGUACGUACUGGUCUCACUGAUUCCUCCUUCCUGAAGAACCGUAAUGCCAUUAAUUUGGUGUUGCGGGGUAACAGGACUGUUACUUUGAAAAAAUUAGAGUGUUUAAAGCAAGCUAACGCUUGAAUACAUUAGUAUGGAAUAAUGAAAUAGGACGAUCGAUCCUAUUUUGUUGGUUUCUAGGAUUGACGUA
rnacentral:rRNA from 1 species